GGCUGCACGGGUGGUGCGGGCGCUGUGGCCUGGCGGGUGUGCCUUGUCCUGGAGGCUGGGCGGCCGCCCCCAGCCGCUGCUCCCCACGCAAAGCCGGGCUGGCUUCGCGGGGGCGGCGGGCGGCCCGCGCGCCGUGGCUGCAGCUCGUAAGGGGAGCCCGCGGCUGCUGGGGGCGGCGGCGCUGGCCCUGGGGGGAGCCCUGGGGCUGUACCACACGGCGCGGUGGCACCUGCGCGCCCAGGACCUCCACGCAGAGCGCUCAGCCGGGCAGCUCUCCCUGUCCAGCCGCCUGCAGCUGACCCUGUACCAGUACAAGACUUGUCCCUUCUGCAGCAAGGUCCGAGCCUUCCUCGACUUCCACGCCCUGCCCUACCAGGUGGUGGAGGUGAACCCUGUGCGCAGGGCUGAGAUCAAGUUCUCCUCCUACAGAAAGGUGCCCAUCCUGGUGGCCCAGGAAGGAGAAAGCUUGGGACAGCAGAUAUGAAAUGCCUGGCACAGUGCUUGGGGUCUAGUAUGUAGCUUCCAGAACCCACCCUGCCCCUCUACCUGGGAGGCCAAAUGGCAACAACUGAACGACUCCUCUGUCAUCAUCAGUGCCCUCAAGACCUACCUGGUGUCGGGGCAGCCCCUGGAAGAGAUCAUCACCUACUACCCAGCCAUGAAGGCUGUGAACGACCAGGGCAGGGAGGUGACCGAGUUCGGCAAUAAGUACUGGCUCAUGCUCAACGAGAAGGAGGCCCAGCAAGUGUAUGGCGGGAAGGAGGCCAGGACGGAGGAGAUGAAGUGGCGGCAGUGGGCGGACGACUGGCUGGUGCACCUGAUCUCCCCCAAUGUGUACCGCACGCCCACCGAGGCUCUGGCGUCCUUUGACUACAUUGUCCGCGAGGGCAAGUUCGGA
rnacentral:sRNA from 1 species